UGCAGUCGAGGGGCAGCGAGGGCGUAGCAAUACGCCUGUCGGCGACCGGCGCACUGGUGAGUAACACGUAUGCGACCUGCCCCCUACAGGGGUAUAACCCGUAGAAAUGCGGACUAAUCCCCCAUAAUCCUGGGUGCUGCAUGGCAUUCAGGGGAAAGGCCAGCCGGUAGGGGAUGGGCAUGCGGCGCAUUAGCUAGUUGGCGGGGCAACGGCCCACCAAGGCGACGAUGCGUAGGGGUUCUGAGAGGAAGGUCCCCCACACUGGUACUGAGACACGGACCAGACUCCUACGGGAGGCAGCAGUGAGGAAUAUUGGUCAAUGGGCGCAGGCCUGAACCAGCCAAGUCGCGUGAGGGAAGACGGUCCUACGGAUUGUAAACCUCUUUUGUCGGGGAGUAACGUGCGGGACGGGUCCCGUAUUGAGAGUACCCGAAGAAAAAGCAUCGGCUAACUCCGUGCCAGCAGCCGCGGUAAUACGGAGGAUGCGAGCGUUAUCCGGAUUUAUUGGGUUUAAAGGGUGCGCAGGCGGCGCGCCAAGUCAGCGGUCAAAGUUCCGGGCUCAACCCGGUGUCGCCGUUGAAACUGGCGUGCUCGAGUGCGUGCGAGGAAGGCGGAAUGCGUUGUGUAGCGGUGAAAUGCAUAGAUAUGACGCAGAACUCCGAUUGCG
rnacentral:rRNA from 1 species